rnacentral:rRNA from 1 species
UACAGAGGGUGCAAGCGUUAAUCGGAAUUACUGGGCGUAAAGCGUGCGUAGACGGUUAUGUAAGUCAGAUGUGAAAUCCCCGGGCUCAACCUGGGAAUGGCAUUUGGGACUGCAAGGCUGGAGUUUGGCAGAGGAGACUGGAAUUCCUGGUGUAGCAGUGAAAUGCGUAGAUAUCAGGAGGAAUACCGAUGGCGAAGGCAGGUCUCUGGGCUAUAACUGACGCUCAUGCACGAAAGCGUGGGGAGCAAACAGG